rnacentral:lncRNA from 1 species
AGCAAGUUUGGUUUGAGUUAUAUAUGCAAUAUUACAGAGUAUUUCGAUAUAUCUAGAUAUUUUGGAUUUCUAAAUUAGAUUACUACUGAUGCUGCAUUAGCGUGUUUAGUUUAAUGCAAUAAUAUAAUGCUGGAUUGCACUGUUUAUAACAUUACUAUGUUUGAUUUAGUAUAUAAAACUCAGUAAUCUUAACAAUAAAAUAUAGUCUAUUCUAAAAUUGGCCUUAGCCAUAUUUGGUAAACUUUUUUUUUUACUGUUUAUAAAUAAUAUUUUUUUACUAAAUUUUAUUUUAAAUAAUUUAAAUUUUUAAACUUUAAAAUUUAAAAUGUUAAAUUUGAACAAAAAUAUAAAAUUUAAUGCAGCAUCAGUAGUAAUCUNAUUUGAAAUUUGAAGUUUAAAAAUUUAAAAUUUAAAAUUUAAAAAUUAAAAUUUGAAAAUUAAAAAUUAAAAUUCAAAAUUUAGAAUUUAAAUAUUGACAAUUCAAAAUUUUAAAUUAAAAUUUUUAAAAUGACAUAUUGAAAGGGUUUCGGGAGUAGGAGGAGUAAAUUUGUAUAUAAUAUGCAAGAUUAGUCGCCUUCAGUAAUGCAAGAUACACAUCCCCCUCCUUAGUAAUAUUUUCGAUGUAAUCUUACACCUUUUGUAAUGCUGCAAUACCGAACAGAUUACAUAUUGGAUGAACUAAACGCAGUAAUCCUGGUAGGAUUGUCUCUAAUACUGUUAGGAUAACCCAAACCGAACGCACCCUUACAUCUAUCUUAUUAGAAAUAGUGGGUGCUUGGUGUAGCAUUUGAAAAUUGAUUUUGAGCCCAAAUGUGAUCUUUGGCUCAUUAGAGUGUUUGGCAACUUUGUUUUCAAAAUCUGACUAUAAUUUUUAGAAUCAGUUUUUUGAUUUUCGAAACCCAAAAUCAGAAGCUGCUCAAACCUUCCUUGAAAUCUGAUUAUGAUAUUAGACUCAAAUUUUUUUCAUUUUAGAUUAAAAUUUUAUAUUUAAAUUCAAAUUUUAAAUUCUAAAUAUUUAAAUUUCAAAUUUCAAAAUUUAAAAUUUAGAUAUUAAAUUUCCAACUUUCAAAUUUUAAAAUUUUAAUUUUCAAAUAUCAUAUUUAAAACAAAAUUAUAAAUUUCAAAUCUCAAAUUUAAAUUUCACAAUUCAAAAUUUUAAAUUUUAAAUUAAAUUUUAGAUGAAAUUUAAAUUUUUAAAUUUUUAAAUUUUAAAUUUUAAAAUUAUAGGUUUUAAUUUUUAAAUUACAAUUUUUUUACUUUUAAAGUUUAGAAUCUAAAUUUUAAGUUUUAAAUUUUAAAUAUUCAAAUUUAAAUUUUAAUUUAAUAUUUAGGUUUUAAAUUUGAAAUUAAAAAUUUAAAUUAGAUUUAAAAAUUCAAAAUUUAAAUUUUAAAUUUUCAAAUUUCAAGUUUAUAUCAAAUUUUAAAUUUUGUGUAAAUUUAAAAUUUAAAAUUUAAAUCUUCAAUUUAAAUUUAAAUUAUUUAAAAUAAUAGUAAUAAAAUUAUUAUUUACAAACGGUAAAUUUUUUUUGCCAAACAGCUUUAUAAAUCGCUUUAAAAAAAUCAUUUUCAUUUAAACUUAUAUAGCUAAACGC